rnacentral:rRNA from 1 species
CGACCGCUGGCGGCGUGCUUACCACAUGCAAGUCGACCGGUAAGGCCCCUUCGGGGGUACACGAGUGGCGAACGGGUGAGUAACACGUGAGCAACCUGCCCUUGACUCUGGAAUAACAGUUGGAAACAGCUGCUAAUACUGGAUAUUCAUCGUCUCCUUCCUGGGGGGUGGUGGAAAGCUCCGGCGGUCAGGGAUGGGCUCGCGGCCUAUCAGCUUGUUGGUGAGGUAAUGGCUCACCAAGGCUUCGACGGGUAGCCGGCCUGAGAGGGCGACCGGCCACACUGGGACUGAGAUACGGCCCAGACUCCUACGGGAGGCAGCAGUGGGGAAUAUUGCACAAUGGGCGCAAGCCUGAUGCAGCAACGCCGCGUGCGGGAUGACGGCCUUCGGGUUGUAAACCGCUUUCAGUAGGGACGAAGGGUGACUGACGGUACCUACAGAAGAAGGACCGGCUAACUACGUG